ACAGUCACUGACAUUAGAUACCCGCGUAGUCCAGGGUGUAAACGCUGCAGACUUGGUGUUGGAAGUCCUUUGGGGGCAUUCAGUGCCGGAGAGAAGUUGUUAAGUCUGCUACUUGGGGAGUACGUCCGCAAGGAUGAAACUUAAAGGAAUUGGCGGGGGAGCACCGCAACGGGAGGAGCGUGCGGUUUAAUUGGAUUCAACACCGUAAACUCACCAGGGAAGACUGUUACAUGAAAGCCGAGAUGAAGACUCUGCUAGAUUUUCAG
rnacentral:rRNA from 1 species